rnacentral:rRNA from 1 species
CCCUUAGAUGUUCUGGACCGCACGCGCGCUACACUGACGAAUGCAACGAGCUUAUAACCUUGGCCGAAAGGUCUGGGUAAUCUCCAAAUUUCGUCGUGAUGGGGAUAGAUUAUUGCAAUUAUUAAUCUUCAACGAGGAAUGCCUAGUAAGCGCAAGUCAUCAGCUUGCGUUGAUUACGUCCCUGCCCUUUGUACACACCGCCCGUCGCUCCUACCGAUUGAAUGGUCCGGUGAAGCGCUCGGACCGCGGCCUCUUGACGGGUCUCCGUCGAUUGGCUGUGGGAAGUUCGUUAAACCUUAUCAUUUAGAGGAAGGAGAAGUCGUAACA